CUAUAUCAAAGAACCUCAAUAGUCUCAAGCUCCAGUGAUUCCACAAUUCAGGGUUUCGAUGCAAAUGAACUGAUGUCUGUUUCAUAUUUAAACAGCUACACUGUUGAGUGGAGGACUCACCACCAGUUCAGCCUUCAUAUAAACCAUGUUCACUUCAUUUCUCUUGCUGUUGCUGGCUGCUGUGUCUUGUAUUGACUGUCAGGUUGUGCUCACACAGUCUGAACAGUCAGUAGUUGUGGCUCCAGGUGCUUCCUACAAACUGACCUGUGCCUGCAGUGGGUUUUCUGUUAGUGGCACUAGCAUGUAUUGGAUCCGUCAGGCACCUGGAAAAGGACUGGAAUGGAUUAUUUAUUAUCAUUCAGAUUCUUACAAGAGCUCAGCUCAGUCAGUGCAGGGCAGAUUCACAGCAUCUAAGGACAGCUCUAAUCUCUAUCUGCAUAUGAAUCAGCUGAAGACUGAAGACACUGCAGUGUAUUACUGUGCAAGAGACACACUGUGAAACAUGAAUACAGGCAGCUGUUCAAAAACUCAUCAUGAGAAAUGGGGUGGACAUGUUUGAGUUA